GCCCCUGUGGCGGAAUUGGUAGACGCAGUUGACUCAAAAUCAACCGCUUGCAAAGGCAUGCUGGUUCGAGUCCGGCCAGGGGCA
rnacentral:tRNA from 1 species